UAGGGAGUAUGGACGAGUGUAAAUACAUACAUAUAUUAUAGAGUCUGAGAGGCUCGAUAUUUUAUGGGAUAAAGGGUUUUAUCGCUUGCGGCAUGCAUUCGAUUUUUCCUUAGAAAUUAAUUUGGGGAAACAUAAAUAUUUUAAUUAUUAAUUUAUUUUUUGUCCACUCACUCUAACGUUAUUAAAUGUUUUCCCCUGGGCCCUUCGUUUUAAAUUGCCCAGUCUGCAGAGUUCGGGUUGGAUCUAGUAGGAGACGAGGCAUAGUCACCCGCUUUUCGGCCAGUUUUCAUCAGUAGGUUACCUGUUCAACCUACUCGUGUUUUCUUGCUUCCGCUUGUGUUUAGUAGCUCUGAAUACUUUAGAAUUUUUGUAUAUUAUGUGAUAUUCAGAAGCGUUAAAUUAAGAGUGUAAUAUGAAAUUUUCGACUUAGGGUUGUCCAUCUGCAAGGGAGAUUUGCUUAAUCUUUUCAGUAAAUUUUCCUUGGAGGUGGUCCCCGCACGACUUACUCUGGGUUUCAGGGUGAAAUUCGGGGUGGGUCGUGUCACGCACUUUAAGCCUAAUGCGGACGUCCGCUUCAUAUCCGGCUUGUCUAUAUAUAUGAGGGGCGUUCAGAGACUCUCAAGUCCACACUGCCCCAAAAGUGGUGUGGACGUCCACGCUUUCCCUACAAUCUGGCACCGGCGAAGAUGUUCCUCUUGUCGGACGGAGACCAGAGGCAUCCCCUAUGAUGUCACCAUGAAGAUGAAGGCCAAGGAGAUUGCGCUUGAAGGUCUGGGUAGCGACCUCACCAGAAACUUUAACCCUGAUCAUGCUCAACUCCAAUCUAGUAGCCAAUGAGUCCACCGGCAAUGAAGAAGCUCCAGAUCAAGGCUUGGUAUCCAUCUAACAAGAGAAGCACUUUCGUCGGCGCUUGAUUAAUUACAAGAAAAGCGUAGAUGUCCGCUACGUUUUGGGGUAGUGCGGACGUGCGCCUCUGAACGCCAUAUACAUUGCUAUAUCCUGCUCAUUACAUGCAUCAGAUUAUUACAUGCUUCUAAUGCUCAUUACAUGCAUCUGAUUAGUUGCUUCUAUACAUGUAUUUAUG
rnacentral:lncRNA from 1 species